GGCUCCAUAGUGUAGUGGUUAGCAUGUCUGCUUUACACACACAAGAUCCUGAGUGGAGCCA
rnacentral:tRNA from 1 species